rnacentral:rRNA from 1 species
UACGUAGGUGGCAAGCGUUGUCCGGAUUUAUUGGGUUUAAGGGUGCGUAGGCGGUUCAAUAAGUCAGUGGUGAAAUACGGCAGCUCAACUGUCGAGGUGCCAUUGAUACUGUUGAACUUGAGUACAGACGAGGUAGGCGGAAUUGACGGUGUAGCGGUGAAAUGCUUAGAUAUCGUCAAGAACACCGAUAGCGAAGGCAGCUUACUAGGCUGUAACUGACGCUGAAGUGCGAAAGCCAGGGUAGCAAACGGG